CAAAUUCUGUCCGCUACAGAAAGUUGAGGGUAUGAGACAAAGCUGCAAGUCAUGUCUCUGCCGUCUUAAAGUCUAUACUUAGGUGCCAAAUGUAGACGAUUCUUCACCUCGCCACCACUUCAGUCAAUCUAUCAUUACCGUGUUUUGUUGGCGAUGUUUGUGAGGACAGUACGUGCGCCAUCUUGACUUCAAGAUUCCACGAAAUUUUCACUUCAGGAGCAUUGGCUCAGGAACAAACUGGCUGUUGAAUGAAAGAUUUCAUAAAACAAACAUUGUGCAAGAUGUGCAGCAUGUGAAAUAUACAGAAUCUUUCCUGAAUGGAAGAAAGCGUCGACAGGAAGCGUACGCUAGCAGAUCGACAUUGAAAGCACAAAAAUUGAAAGUAUUUCUUGUGAAGUCAGAAACAGCCAGCCUCCCAACUACUUGAAAAUUUUACAGCACCGACCAGUUCUACAAGCAUAUAUGUCAAGCAACUACACGCCUGACGGCGCUGAGCGCUUUGUCUACGUUCUCUACGUUGCUGCCGCGCUCUACCGUGUUUUCCCCUCGCAGAGCAUAUAUACGGUGUACAAAGUAUCGAGAAUCAUGUAGAAACAUCUAGAAGUCGGUCCUCCAUUGUUUCAUGUAUGACUGGAGUCUCUGGCCUCAUACGUCAUUGUGUGCGUCAUUUAGACGACGUCAUUUUUCAAGAAAAAUCCAGAAGCAGUUGAACGUCUGCUUGAAGAAGAAGAAGAAGACCGGUCGGUCGAAAACUCUCUGCGAACAACGAAAGAAUAACAUUCUGUUUCUCUCAUCUGAUGGACCAGUUGUGUUAUCGACGUUGUGUUAUCGACAAGUUAAUUAAGCAGUGUACUUUCUCCAUUCUGACCGCUACCAUCAGCUGUCUUCACUCUCCAUCUCUACCACUUUAGCUGAAGGUCAAACGUCUCCAUUGUACAUUUCUGCUAAAACUGAAGAUCAACAGUCUACACUUUCUUUCACCUUUAUCUAAGGGGGCUCGCCAAAGUGUUGCACAUCUGUAUUAGGACUGCAAGAGAAAGAGCAAGACAGUAACAGAGUAUUUGGAAGUUGCAAGCUUCCUUUUACACGGAAACAGCAAACUAUACAUCAUCCAUGGAUUCCAGACUGUUUGUGUCUAGCUUAUUGAGUGGCAGUCCAUACACAAGGCCAUUGUGAUGUUGACAGAAUCAGUACAACAGAACCCAGCCCCUCUCUACAUCUCAGUGACAUGUCGGCAAGUUUUAUAUCAGGCUCUGCUGUCAUUGGUGUGUCUUCCAUUUCCAUCUGUUUCUGCUUUUGCAAGCGGCACUCACCCUCUUCCAGCAGGGCCUGCUGGGUCCUGACUAUCAGGUGGUCUGUGAGUGCCAAGAUGUGAAGGUCUCCUCCAUCCAGUUGCUCCAAGCAUCCAAGGCCCGGUUAUCAGCUGUGUCUGCACUCUUGACAUUUCGAGCACCACUCAACGUCACAAUCAACAGUCAACGUCCAAGUUUUCAACUUCAGAGCCAGUUACCCAUGCUGGCAUGCAGACGAAAUACUCAACCAGUGUUAGUAAUGCUGACUUUUUCUUCUGAACAGCUUGUGACUGACAGUUUAAACCCUGCAUUUGCUUUAAAAUACAUUCAGUGUUAAGCAGUCUGGAGGUUGAAGGAUCCUGCUGCUGCAUUUUCAGUGACAUACAAGAGCACUCUGAGCAUAAAGGAAAGGUAAGCAGAUCAGAUAGUGAUGGCAAUCAUAAGGCCUUGAUUUCAUCAACAGCAACAGGAGUGAGCAUGAUACUGAUAAAAAUGAGGACAGAAGCUUAAUGUCCGAUGUGGGGGAUACAAACCCUGUAGUCAAAAAAGAAGACAUUUUUCUUCAAAUAGUUACUAUUUAUAUGGCUAAUGCUGAAAAGAAGGCUGAUAAAAAUGAUAUCAGUAAAAGAGACAACACGAGAAAGUGUGAUACAAAAUC
rnacentral:lncRNA from 1 species